rnacentral:rRNA from 1 species
GAUUCUGGCUCAGGAUGAACGCUGGCGGCGUGCUUAACACAUGCAAGUCGAACGGAAACUUAUUGAAACCUAGUGAUAUAAGUUUAGUGGCGGACGGGUGAGUAACGCGUGGGUAACCUGCCGUAUGCAGGGGGAUAACAGUUAGAAAUGACUGCUAAUACCGCAUAAGACCACAGUCUCGCAUGAGACAGGGGUAAAAACUCCGGUGGCAUACGAUGGACCCGCGUCUGAUUAGAUAGUUGGUGAGGUAACGGCCCACCAAGUCAACGAUCAGUAGCCGGCCUGAGAGGGUGAACGGCCACAUUGGGACUGAGACACGGCCCAAACUCCUACGGGAGGCAGCAGUGGGGAAUAUUGCACAAUGGGCGAAAGCCUGAUGCAGCCGACGCCGCGUGAGUGAAGAAGUAUUUCGGUAUGUAAAGCUCUAUCAGCAGGGAAGAAAAUGACGGUACCUGACUAAGAAGCACCGGCUAAAUACGUGCCAGCAGCAGC